UACGUAGGGGGCUAGCGUUGUCCGGAAUCAUUGGGCGUAAAGCGCGCGUAGGCGGCCCGGUAAGUCCGCUGUAAAAGUCAAAGGCUCAACCUUUGAAUGCCGGUGGAUACUGUCGGGCUAGAGUCCGGAAGAGGCGAGUGGAAUUCCCAGUGUAGCGGUGAAAUGCGUAGAUAUUGGGAGGAACACCAGUGGCGAAGGCGGCUCACUGGACCGGAACUGACGCUGAGGCGCGAAAGCGUGGGGAGCAAACAGG
rnacentral:rRNA from 1 species